ACACAUUCUAGCCAAUCAGCAGCAGACCCUCCCUCCCAGGCCCUCCCACCUCCUGGACAGCAUCCAUUUUGAAGCUGCAUUCUUAGUGAGCUGUCCAAGAGGUGGGAGGGUCUGGGAGGGAGGGUCUGCUGCUGAUUGGCUGGAAUGUGUCU
rnacentral:miRNA from 1 species